AACGCUAGCUACAGGCUUAACACAUGCAAGUCGAGGGGCAGCAUGAUUGAAGCUUACUUCAAUUGAUGGCGACCGGCGCACGGGUGAGUAACACGUAUCCAACCUUCCGUACACUCAGGGAUAGCCUUUCGAAAGAAAGAUUAAUACCUGAUGGUAUCUUAAGCACACAUGUAAUUAAGAUUAAAGAUUUAUCGGUGUACGAUGGGGAUGCGUUCCAUUAGAUAGUAGGCGGGGUACCGGCCCACCUAGUCGACGAUGGAUAGGGGUUCUGAGAGGAAGGUCCCCCACAUUGGAACUGAGACACGGUCCAAACUCCUACGGGAGGCAGCAGUGAGGAAUAUUGGUCAAUGGGCGCGAGCCUGAACCAGCCAAGUAGCGUGAAGGAUGAAGGUCCUACGGAUUGUAAACUUCUUUUAUAAGGGAAUAAAGUCACCUACGUGUAGGUGUUUGUAUGUACCUUAUGAAUAAGCAUCGGCUAACUCCGUGCCAGCAGCCGCGGUAAUACGGAGGAUGCGAGCGUUAUCCGGAUUUAUUGGGUUUAAAGGGAGCGUAGACGGGUCGUUAAGUCAGCUGUGAAAGUUUGAGGCUCAACCUUAAAAUUGCAGUUGAUACUGGCGUCCUUGAGUACGGUUGAGGCAGGCGGAAUUCGUGGUGUAGCGGUGAAAUGCUUAGAUAUCACGAAGAACUCCGAUUG
rnacentral:rRNA from 1 species